rnacentral:antisense_RNA from 1 species
GAAGGAAAGGCAGAAAUGCUGAAGCCCUGAGGCUGGGGAUAGUUUUUUAGGCGGCUCCCUAAACAGACUAAGGUGUCCACUCUGCACCAGAGCUUCUCAAGUGAGGCCCCUGAACAGCAGCCUCAACAUCACCUGGGAUCUUGUCAGAAAUGCAAAUUCUUCCCUCACCCCAAGUCAGCUAAAAUAGAAAUGCUAUUUCUGAGCACAAGCAACUUCAUGAACCCUGUCCUGGUCUCAAUAACUCUGACCACUAGAAGCAGACAUGGCCAAUUUCAGAGCUGGGAUAAGAAACCUUCAACAACUGGGAAAAACAAGUUAACUGAUAUCAAAAUACAACAGUAUAAAGACAAUUGAAUUCUGGUUAAAAAAGAAGAGCUACAAAAGAUAUUUUGAUUAAGCAAUGAAAAAUUCAAAUAUGGACUGGAU